ensembl:lncRNA
ACUGACGUCACUCAAUGCGACACUGAUGUAUCAAUUAUCAGUCUCGGAACUUCUUUAAAAGCACUGCGCUGGUGAUAGCCAGGCUGCUUGGUGGUUUUGGCAGUACAUUCCACUUCAAGUGAGGUUCCGGUUGAUCCCUGGCUGCGAUUGUCGGCUGACGGCAAGAAAUUGAGGCUGCCUUCCGUCACCGGCUGCUGUUUUGUUUCUACUUAAAGUUCCUUUUUGUUAUAUGUUUGUCCAUUGAUUACUGACUAUUGUUGCACUGCUUGCGUGCUGCCAGCUCAUGGUAACCUGCGGGUGUGCGUGCGGGUGUUGAGGAGUGUCGGUGAGGAUUAUUUUGGUUUCCUUUUAUGUUUAAGUCUCCAUUGUCUGCAUGUUUUGUUGUUCGUUUCCUUGUCCUCUCUGCUUCUGUAAAACCCCACCAGUGGCGAACUUACCCCUGUGACUGGGCACCUAACACUGUGGCUAUUUGUUAUUUGCAGUGCUCUUAUUUUAAGGUGCUUGUAGUGCCCAUUUGGGGUGUAUUGUUUUGCUGUGCUUGACUGUGCUACUUCACAUUCCUUUACUGCCCAAUCAGUCCUAAGGGGUGGGACGUCUGUUGGUCUCCAGAGGCUUGAUUUGUGUACUAGUUGAACGUGUGUGUUAUUUUGUGUUUGUUUUCUGGUUGUCCUUUUGGUUGCAGGAGUUGGGUACCCCCAGCAGGGAGGCCUUGGCACCUGGUGGUGGGUAUCCGCAUGUGUGUCUGACUAUCUUUGCAGUGUAGGGUCACCCGGGUGUGCAGUGUGUUCGCGUGUGGUCCCUUGGACCCCCCUCCUAGACAGAUUGCCCCCCUCUGCUCACUGACCUGAGAGCUUGAGUCAUCAUCGUAGCAGCUCAAAACAUGAUACCUGUUCCCACAUUUCUCAACCAGCCACCGGAGGUUGUCGCCUUCACUCUCAAUGUACUCCUCAACUGAUCUGUCUCCAAGCCAGUCUCCCCGGGUGAAUACAACUAUGGUGUGUCUCCACACACUCUCACCGAUGAUGCUCAUGUACUUAGAUGUGGCUUUUCUGUCUUCCUCUGUGAAUGCCCUGUUUACCGGAACAACCACGAGGAGGCCGUGUGGACCUGGUGAGAUCAUGGACACACCACGUGCAAUCUCCUGUUCCACCAAAACUGAUGAGUCAUCGGGUGAUGUACACCAGCCCGGUGUAUCAACCACUGUGACACGCUUGUUAAAAACGUACGCCUGAUGCAGGAGACAUUUUGUGGUGCCAUGACGUUUUUUGAAUGCCUGCAGGGAAAUUAUGAUUUCACAGUCACAAUAUAAAAGUUAAUACACAGUUCUAAUAUUUCAAAAGAUAAAG